rnacentral:rRNA from 1 species
CCUACGGGGCGCAGCAGUGGGGGAUAUUGCACAAUGGGGGGAACCCUGAUGCAGCGACGCCGCGUGGGUGAAGAAGCGCCUCGGCGCGUAAAGCCCUGUCAGCAGGGAAGAAAAUGACGGUACCUGAAGAAGAAGCCCCGGCUAACUACGUGCCAGCAGCCGCGGCAAUACGUAGGGGGCAAGCGUUAUCCGGAUUUACUGGGUGUAAGGGGGCGCAGACGGCGAUGCAAGCCAGGAGUGAAAGCCCGGGGCCCAACCCCGGGACUGCUCUUGGAACUGCGUGGCUAGAGUGCAGGAGGGGCAGG